rnacentral:lncRNA from 1 species
CUAAAGGCUUGAACUGUGAGCUGUGCAUGGAUUUCUACCACGAUUUGCCGUGGAGACCUGCCGAAGGUCGGAACAGUAACGCCUGCAAAAAGUGUAACUGCAACGAACAUUCCAGCUCGUGUCACUUUGACAUGGCGGUCUUCCUGGCUACCGGCAAUGUCAGCGGGGGAGUGUGUGAUAACUGUCAGCACAACACCAUGGGGCGCAACUGCGAGCAGUGCAAACCCUUCUACUUCCAGCACCCUGAGAGGGACAUCCGGGACCCCAAUCUCUGCGAAC